rnacentral:rRNA from 1 species
UACGUAGGGGGCAAGCGUUGUCCGGAUUUAUUGGGCGUAAAGAGCGUGUAGGCGGCCUUGCAAGUCCGUUGUGAAAACUCGAGGCUCAACCUCGAGACGCCGGUGGAAACUGCAAAGCUAGAGUCCGGAAGAGGAGAGUGGAAUUCCUGGUGUAGCGGUGAAAUGCGCAGAUAUCAGGAGGAACACCAAUUGCGAAGGCAGCUCGCUGGAACGUAACUGACGCUGAGACGCGAAAGCGUGGGGAGCAAACAGG